CCAGUAAAAACAUAUAGAAUAGGGGAAUGGAGCACUUAUUUCGUAACUGAAUCUUAAAAUACACCUUAAAUCAGUGGUGUUACUGUCAAUGGUGAGACCAUUUUGAUAAAAUAACACCAUUGACCAGUUUAGUAACACCACUGAAUAUAUCAUGACAAUCAGCAUUGUUUUGUGUUUCUUUCAUGUUUAACAAGCUAAACAUCA
rnacentral:lncRNA from 1 species